rnacentral:rRNA from 1 species
AGUGAACGCUGGCGGUAGGCCUAACACAUGCAAGUCGAACGGCAGCACAGUAAGAGCCUGCUCUUACGGGUGGCGAGUGGCGGACGGGUGAGGAAUACAUCGGAAUCUACUUUUUCGUGGGGGAUAACGUAGGGAAACUUACGCUAAUACCGCAUACGACCUACGGGUGAAAGCAGGGGAUCUUCGGACCUUGCGCGAUUGAAUGAGCCGAUGUCGGAUUAGCUAGUUGGCGGGGUAAAGGCCCACCAAGGCGACGAUCCGUAGCUGGUCUGAGAGGAUGAUCAGCCACACUGGAACUGAGACACGGUCCAGACUCCUACGGGAGGCAGCAGUGGGGAAUAUUGGACAAUGGGCGCAAGCCUGAUCCAGCCAUACCGCGUGGGUGAAGAAGGCCUUCGGGUUGUAAAGCCCUCUUGUUGGGAAAGGAAAGCAGCAGGUUAAUACCCCGCUGUUCUGACGGUACCCAAAGAAUAAGCACCGGCUAACUUCGUG